AAUGAACGUUGGCGGCGUGGAUUAGGCAUGCAAGUCGCGCGAUAAAUCCCAGCAAUGGGAUGGAAAGCGGCGAAAGGGACAGUAAUGCGUAGAUAACCUACCCUCGGGCUCGGGAUAGCUGCGGGAAACUGCAAUUAAUACCGAAUAACGUCUCCGGACCAAAGGUGCGAUUCCGCCGGAGGAUGGGUCUGCGUCCUAUUAGCUAGUUGGCGUGGUAACGGCACACCAAGGCAAAGAUGGGUAGCAGGUGUGAGAGCACGACCUGCGUCACUGGGACUGAGACACUGCCCAGACACCUACGGGUGGCUGCAGUCGAGGAUCUUCGGCAAUGGGCGCAAGCCUGACCGAGCGACGCCGCGUGCGGGAUGAAGGCCUUCGGGUUGUAAACCGCUGUCAGAGAGGCGGAAAUAUAGGGGGGUUCUCCCCUCUGUUUGACCUAAUCUCAGAGGAAGUGCGGGCUAAGUCCGUGCCAGCCGCCGCAGUAAAAC
rnacentral:rRNA from 1 species